AGAGUUUGAUCAUGGCUCAGAAUGAACGUUGGCGGCGUGGAUUAGGCAUGCAAGUCGAGCGAGAACCGUAGCAAUACGGGGACAGCGGCGCAAGGGACAGUAAUGUGUAGAUCAUCUGCCCUCAGGACCGGGAUAGCUGCGGGAAACUGCAGGUAAUACCGGAUAACAUCUCCGGAUCAAAGGUGUGAUUCCGCCUGAGGAUGAGUCUACAUCCUAUUAGCUAGUUGGUAGGGUAACGGCCUACCAAGGCAUUGAUGGGUAGCGGGUGUGAGAGCACGACCCGCGUCAUUGGGACUGAGACACUGCCCAGACACCUACGGGUGGCUGCAGUCGAGAAUCUUCGGCAAUGGGCGCAAGCCUGACCGAGCGACGCCGCGUGUGGGAUGAAGGCCUUCGGGUUGUAAACCACUGUUAGAGGGGAUGAAAUGCAGGUGGGUUCUCCCAUCUGUUUGACAUAGCCUCAGAGGAAGGACGGGCUAAGUUCGUGCCAGCCGCCGCGGUAAUAC
rnacentral:rRNA from 1 species